AUUGAACGCUGGCGGCAGGCCUAACACAUGCAAGUCGAGCGGAUGAGUGGAGCUUGCUCCAUGAUUCAGCGGCGGACGGGUGAGUAAUGCCUAGGAAUCUGCCUGGUAGUGGGGGACAACGUUUCGAAAGGAACGCUAAUACCGCAUAAGUCCUACGGGAGAAAGUGGGGGAUCUUCGGCCCUUACGCUAUCAGUUGAGCCUAGGUCGGAUUAGCUAGUUGGUGAGGUAAAGGCUCACCAAGGCGACGAUCCGUAACUGGUCUGAGAGGAUGAUCAGUCACACUGGAACUGAGACACGGUCCAGACUCCUACGGGAGGCAGCAGUGGGGAAUAUUGGACAAUGGGCGAAAGCCUGAUCCAGCCAUGCCGCGUGUGUGAAGAAGGUCUUCGGAUUGUAAAGCACUUUAAGUUGGGAGGAAGGGCAGUAAGUUAAUACCUUGCUGUUUUGACGUUACCAACAGAAUAAGCACCGGCUAACUUCGUGCCAGCCGCCGCUGUAA
rnacentral:rRNA from 1 species